rnacentral:piRNA from 1 species
CGGUUUGGACAGUCAGCCAGGUUGGGGCG